GACGAACGCUGGCGGCGUGCUUAACACAUGCAAGUCGAACGGAAAGGCCUGCUUUCCCUUGUGGAUUGCGGGUACUCGAGUGGCGAACGGGUGAGUAACACGUGAGUGAUCUGCCCCCAACUUGGGUAUAAGCCUGGGAAACUGGGUCUAAUUCCCGAUAGGACUGCAGGGUGGUGCCUGUGGUGGAAAACGAUUUUCUAGUGGUUGGGGAUGAGCUCGCGGCCUAUCAGCUUGUUGGUGGGGUAAUGGCCUACCAUGGCGGCGACGGGUAGCCGGCCUGAGAGGGUGGACGGCCACAUUGGGACUGAGAUACGGCCCAGACUCCUACGGGAGGCAGCAGUGGGGAAUAUUGCACAAUGGGCGGAAGCCUGAUGCAGCGACGCCGCGUGGGGGAUGACGGCCUUCGGGUUGUAAACUCCUUUCGACCGCGAGGAAGCCACCUGGUUGGAAGGGUGGUGACGGUAGUGGUAGAAGAAGCACCGGCUAACUACGUG
rnacentral:rRNA from 1 species